rnacentral:rRNA from 1 species
GGUUAUCGUUGUAAAGAUAUCCGAUGAAUUGUGGUAAGUUAGUGAAAGACAAAACUGACUAGGAUAGCUGGUUUUCUGCGAAACCUAUAUAAGUAGGUAAUGUAAAUAACAUUAUAGCAGGUACAGAACUUUGAUCUCGGACAAAUUAUCUUGUUUUCUUAAGGAUAGCAAGAUGGUUUUGUAUACAUCGGGGAAUCGUGAAGAUUUUAUCGGCGAGAAUUUGCUCUCGGAAGGGCAAUGAUGGAUUUUGCAUAAUCGGACAUAGUACGAUAAGGUUUUAUGUCUAAAGGGAAACAGCCCAGAACAAGAGUUAAAGGUUCCAAAAUUAUUGUUAAGUGAAAAUAAGGAAGUUUUCUUCAAAUACAACCAGGAAAUAGGCUUAGAAGCGGCCAUUUUUCAAGACCUCGUAACAG